CACAACACUCCAAUUCCAGAAAUAAAGAGUGAGGUUCAUGAGUAUGUGAUUUCUUUCUCAGAACUGGGAUCUUCAUUGUAAUUAAAAGCAUGUUAAGCAGGCGAGAUCAAGAUUCCAAAAAAAUCCAAAGAACGGGGUUUACAGAAGAAGACUGAGUAUUGUCUGACCUCAAGCUUACGGGAUGCCAGAACAGAACAAGAUUACUGAGAAUGCAACUGAAUUUUAGAGACUACCAGUCACCAAGUAAGUUGCUCAGGCACUACUGAGAUUAUCCCGAUAACAUUUGGAUGUUCAGGAGGGUCUUGGUUAGCACC
rnacentral:lncRNA from 1 species